rnacentral:misc_RNA from 1 species
AACAAGGCGUACCUGCGGACCUGCGGAAGGAUCAUUACGAGAGUGUCACCACUCCCAACCCAUUGUUUACCUACCCGUCCACCGUGCUUCGGCAGGCAGCCCUGUGGGACAGAGCCUCGCCCCCUUUCGCGGGGGGUGCCUGCCGCUUGCCAACCAAAACUCUAGCUGUUUUAGUACCAUCUGAGUCUUCCACAAAUGAACAAAACUUUCAACAAUGGAUCUCAGAUCGGAAGAGCACAC